rnacentral:tRNA from 1 species
GCACCAUUGGCCUGCCGGAGACGCAGCAGGCUAUCGCCUUGCUGCGGGAGCUUCAGCCGGCGAUGAUCUUCGUCGAUGCUCCG